CCCACGGGACUCAGCAGUGAUAAAAAU
rnacentral:piRNA from 1 species